rnacentral:ncRNA from 1 species
UCAAAAGCGUUGAAGAGAAGAGUAAAUAUAAGGGAAGCAUAACAGAGAACUCCGGAAGCUGAAAAGGAGGAUGCGGAACUAUAUUGAAGCAAGCCUCGUAGCUGCACAUUGGAUUGUUAUAUGAUGAUGUGCCGGUGCUCCCGUUAUCGAGAAAAGCAAUGAUUUGCUGUUGCUUAUGGAGGUUUCUGCAGCGAUGCAGAAACAGAAUGAGGUGGCACCACGAUCUUCUGUGAUAUAAGAAGUCCCGUCCUCAAA